rnacentral:rRNA from 1 species
AUGGGGGGUCGGGCCUUCCCGGUGAGCAUGGCUUAAACGGAUGCGGUAAAUCGUGCUAAGGUAGCUAAGUUAUGGCCUAUUGAUUGUAGGCCUUGUGAAUGGUUUGACGAGCUCUCAACUGUCUCUAGGUUGUUUUGGUGAACUUGAAUUGGAUGUGCAAAUGCUUCCAUAUGAAAGAAAGACGAGAAGACCCCGUGAAGUUAGUAAUACUGCCUGCGUUGGUUACAAAGAAGGUACAGUAGUUUUGGCUGGGGCAGCAAGGGGGCAAGUUUAGACCUCCUGAUUAUUAAAACGGGUGCGUUUUGACCCACAGCUUGGCUGUGAAUAGCAGAAGGAGUUACUCCGGGGAUAACAGCGUUAUUCGCCUUGAUAGUCCUUAUAGAUGGGCGGGUUUGCGACCUCGAUGUUGGCUCUGGGUAUCCUAAGGCUUGCAGGUGGUCUUUAGGGUUGGUUCGUUCGCCCAUUAAAACCC